GGAUGGGACAAAAUGUGCCACGUGUACCUGCAGCUUGCUCAAACACACGAUGUAAGUUAUGUUUGCGUAUUGGGCUGCUCAAACAUUGGGCUUCAUGAUUUAAUUUGGUCCAAGUACGGUCUCAUAUACAGUUUCAUCCUAUGCGUCGAGACAACCUCGCCGUCUUAUCGAUCGGACUUCCGCUGCAGAAACGGCUGCAUAACCCUCUCGUUCAAUUAGCGUAAUUAGCGCUCCCAUUUACUCCAUUAAACCAGAACCUCCACUAAUUUGCAUUCAGUAAUACCCUCGCCCUCCUCAAAGAUUUUAAAGCUCCUUGGCAAAGUAAAGUUUCUGAAGUCUCAAGCUUUACACCACCUCUGUAUUUCUCGGCAAAACCGGAACCGUCAUCUCUCGCCUCCCGCCGAAAGCUUACGCGGCGCUACGAAGCGCGUUUAAGGCGAAGAUGUCGCUGCAUAAGAAUACUUCGGCCGUCUCCGUCUUGGACAUGUGUUUUGAUCUCACCGGGUUUAAGACGGUGACUAUCCCGACGGUGUCGUUCUACUUCAGUGGUGGCGCCGUUCUGGAGCUCUCGAUCCCGACGGUGUCGUUCCAAAUUAUAAUCACUUAGGUCUUUAUCAAAGUCAAAACUCAAAGCAGAUGUACCGUAUAAUCACUCAGAUAACGAAGAGAUGAUGCACCCUGCAUUCACCAUGAAAUCUGUUGGAGUUUUGGUUCUGCUUACUGUUCUAUCAUCAGAUUGGUAUCAAGUUCAAGCCUCUGAAAUGUGAUUUUCAGACUCACAAAGAAGACAAAAUCAAGGUCCACUAUCGGGCCUAAGGCACAGAGGGGCUUGACGUUAAAAGAAACCCAACAAAUGGAGUUCUUCUCUCAGGCUGUUGAUGAGACACUUCUGUUCAUUACAUUCUCACUUACCGCUUUAGGAAGCAAAGAAUGACGUCGAAAUGAAUGAUUUAUAGGAACUUCUGGCUGAAACAUGGAAGACAUUGACAGUAUAUCGAGGAUGAAAGCUUGCUUCAAUUUGUAGAAAUAACGCUGAGGUGGAAACAUCUAGCUCCCAUUGCACCAUCAACAAUCACAGUGAUUCGACUAUUGACGCUUUCAACAGUUUCGUCUGCGAAACUGGAGCCGGAAACCAUAUUCUUGGAGCUCUAUUUGUUGAUCUUGAGCCAUUGUUAUUGAUGAAGUCUGUACCAAAACAUACUGGCAACUUUUACAUCCUGAGUAGCUUAUCUCCGGGAACAACUUCGUCAAUGUUGGAAACGAGAUUGUGGACCUUUGACUUAACAGUGUGAGAGAACUUGCCGACAACUGUUCACGCUUGCAAGGGUUAUUGGUCUUUAAUGCUGUUGGUGGAGUAAGUGGUUCAUGUUUGGGAUCUCUGUUGUUCGAACAUUUGUCUGUAAAUUAUGUAAAUAAGUCUAAACUUGGAUCCACCAUAUAUCUUUCUCCUCGGCUACUUUUCCAGAAGAAAAAAAAUACAUUACUAAUUACAUUGAAAUUGGAGUCUUCCCAAAA